CGGACGGGUGAGUAAUGUCUGGGAAACUGCCCGAUGGAGGGGGAUAACUACUGGAAACGGUAGCUAAUACCGCAUAACGUCGCAAGACCAAAGAGGGGGACCUUCGGGCCUCUUGCCAUCGGAUGUGCCCAGAUGGGGUUAGCUAGUAGGUGGGGUAAUGGCUCACCUAGGCGACGAUCCCUAGCUGGUCUGAGAGGAUGACCAGCCACACUGGAACUGAGACACGGUCCAG
rnacentral:rRNA from 1 species